CAUGGGCCUGGGCACCCUGCUCUGGAUAUCCUUGCAGGAGGGACCAGAUGGACCCAGAGGUCCCUGCCAACCUCAUCUAUUCUGUGACCAAGCAGUGAACUGAAUUUUGAAUGGGACCUGUUUCUAUGUUUCUGAUGACUGAAGUUCAGUGAUCACAUCAGCCGACUGACUGCUACAGAGUGACCCAGAUUACGUCUUCUGGCAGAAGCUAACAGUACCAGAUUGAAAAAAUCACAACUGAAGAAAGGCAAUCUUCCCUUGUAGCUUCAAGUCAAGAACAAGAUUUUCAUUGUUCUCACAUGGCAGCUCUCCAUAGCAAGGUUUUCACAAACUUUCUGGCAUUGGUAGUAAUAUACAUUCAUACUAGGCAAGGCAAAUCCUUUGAAACAGCUCCUUUCUGCAGACUCCUUUAGAGAAAAGGAAAGGAGAAACACUACGCCGUGUUCAAUUCAUCUUCCAUAUUGUUCAGGAUUGAGUAGAAAUUACUGUGGAAACUAUGCAGAAGGCACAUUUUUUGUAUAAACUUGUGUCCAGAAAGAGGUAAAAAAAAUUGAAAAUAAAUGUGAAUGCUGUAUCUGUGUCACCUACAGACAUUCAAACUAGAAAUAAUGUGAUUUAGCUUUCAGACCUUGAGCUCCUAGUGUUCCAAGGGAAAUGUGUAGUUACUACUUAUUAUGCAGCUUACAAUAACUGUCGAAAAGAUUGAUCCAAUUAAAUAAAAAGUACUUACUUGAA